GAUGAACGCUGGCGGCGUGCCUAAUACAUGCAAGUCGAGCGAACAGACGAGUAGCUUGAUCCUCUGACGUUAGCGGCGGACGGGUGAGUAACACGUGGAUAACCUACCUAUAAGACUGUGAUAACUUCGGGAAACCGGUGCUACUACCUGCUAACCUCUUGAACCGCAUGGUUCAACAGUGACCGACGGUCUUGCUGUCACUUAUAGAUGGAUCCGCGCCGCAUUAGCUAGUUGGUCAGGUAACGGCUUACCAAGGCAACGAUGAGUAGCCGACCUGAGAGGGUGAUCGGCCACACUGGAACUGAGACACGGCCCAGACUCCUACGGGAGGCAGCAGUAGGGAAUCUUCCGCAAUGGGCGAAAGCCUGACGGAGCAACGCCGCGUGAGUGAAGAAGGUCUUCGGAUCGUAAAACUCUGUUAUUAGGGAAGAACAAAUGUGUAAGUAACUAUGCACGUCAUGACGGUACCGAAUCAGAAAGCCACGGCUAACUACGUG
rnacentral:rRNA from 1 species